rnacentral:misc_RNA from 1 species
AGCAGCCGCGGUAAUUCCAGCUCCAAUAGCGUAUAUUAAAGUUGUUGCAGUUAAAAAGCUCGUAGUUGAAUUUCGAGACCGGUUUACUGGUCGUGCUUUUGUACGUACUGGUAUUAUUGGUUUCUCCUUUCUGACGAACUAUAAUGCCAUUAAUUUGGUGUUUUAGGGAAUCAGGACUGUUACUUUGAAAAAAUUAGAGUGUUUAAAGCAGGCUCACGCUUGAAUACAUUAGCAUGGAAUAACGGAAUAGGACGUUUGAUUCUAUUUUGUUGGUUUCUAGGAUCGACGUAAUGAUUAAUAGGGAUAGUUGGGGGCAUUAGUAUUCAAUUGUCAGAGGUGAAAUUCUUGGAUUUAUUGAAGACUAACUACUGCGAAAGCAUUUGCCAAGGAUGUUUUCAUUAAUCAAGAACGAAAGUUAGGGGAUCGAAGACGAUCAGAUACCGUCGUAGUCUUAACCAUAAACCUAUGCCGACUAGGGAUCGGAUGAUGUUAAUUAUUUAAUGACUCAUUCGGCCGUCCG